GAUGAACGCUGGCGGCGUGCCUAAUACAUGCAAGUCGAGCGAACGGACGAGAAGCUUGCUUCUCUGAUGUUAGCGGCGGACGGGUGAGUAACACGUGGAUAACCUACCUAUAAGACUGGGAUAACUUCGGGAAACCGGAGCUAAUACCGGAUAAUAUUUUGAACCGCAUGGUUCAAAAGUGAAAGACGGUCUUGCUGUCACUUAUAGAUGGAUCCGCGCUGCAUUAGCUAGUUGGUAAGGUAACGGCUUACCAAGGCAACGAUGCAUAUCCGACCUGAGAGGGUGAUCGGCCACACUGGAACUGAGACACGGUCCAGACUCCUACGGGAGGAAGCAGUAGGGAAUCUUCCGCAAUGGGCGAAAGCCUGACGGAGCAACGCCGCGUGAGUGAUGAAGGUCUUCGGAUCGUAAAACUCUGUUAUUAGGGAAGAACAUAUGUGUAAGUAACUGUGCACAUCUUGACGGUACCUAAUCAGAAAGCCACGGCUAACUACGUG
rnacentral:rRNA from 1 species